rnacentral:rRNA from 1 species
GACGAACGCUGGCGGCGUGCUUAACACAUGCAAGUCGAGCGGUAAGGCCCUUUCGGGGGUACACGAGCGGCGAACGGGUGAGUAACACGUGGGUGACCUGCCCUCAGCUCUGGGAUAAGCCUGGGAAACUGGGUCUAAUACCGGAUAUGACUCCAUGACGCAUGUUGUGGGGUGGAAAGCCUUGUGCGGCUGAGGAUGGGCCCGCGGCCUAUCAGCUUGUUGGUGGGGUGAUGGCCUACUAAGGCGACGACGGGUAGCCGGCCUGAGAGGGCGACCGGCCACACUGGGACUGAGACACGGCCCAGACUCCUACGGGAGGCAGCAGUGGGGAAUCUUGCGCAAUGGGCGAAAGCCUGACGCAGCGACGCCGCGUGAGGGAUGACGGCCUCGGUUGUAAC